rnacentral:lncRNA from 1 species
ACUUGGAGCAGAUUGCAAUCUUGCAGAAGACUCUUAUUCUCUGUGCUGCUAUAUUUUGCUGCGAGGAGGAAUAUAAAGACAACAAAGAUAAAAACAUAUUGUGUUGCCCAUUAUUCAAGGAAAGCAAGAUUAAAUUCGGCAUAUUUUGCGUUUUAUCUCCAAUAUUAAUGGGACUCUAUUUAAUAGGAAUGCUUCUGUUUAUAGGUUGCUUUAUAGCAGCGCCUGUGGAAUGUAUAUUUCUCCUUUCUUGUAACUGUAAUAAAGAACGUAAGCUGAGCA